UGCAAGUCGAGCGGCAGCGCGGGGGCAACCUUGGCGGCGAGCGGCGAACGGGUGAGUAAUGUAUCGGAACGUACCCAGUCGUGGGGGAUAACUAUCCGAAAGGAUAGCUAAUACCGCAUACGUCCUGAGGGAGAAAGCGGGGGACCGAAAGGCCUCGCGCGAUUGGAGCGGCCGAUAUCGGAUUAGCUAGUUGGUGAGGUAAAGGCUCACCAAGGCGACGAUCCGUAGCUGGUCUGAGAGGACGACCAGCCACACUGGAACUGAGACACGGUCCAGACUCCUACGGGAGGCAGCAGUGGGGAAUUUUGGACAAUGGGGGCAACCCUGAUCCAGCCAUUCCGCGUGAGUGAAGAAGGCCUUCGGGUUGUAAAGCUCUUUCGGCAGGAACGAAACGGUGUCCCCUAAUACGGGGCGCUAAUGACGGUACCUGAAGAAGAAGCACCGGCUAACUACGUGCCAGCAGCCGCGGUAAUACGUAGGGUGCGAGCGUUAAUCGGAAUUACUGGGCGUAAAGCGUGCGCAGGCGGUUAUGUAAGACAGGUGUGAAAUCCCCGGGCUUAACCUGGGAAACUGCGCUUGUGACUGCAUAAC
rnacentral:rRNA from 1 species